rnacentral:rRNA from 4 species
GUUGGGUAGGGGAGCGUUCUGUAAGCCUGUGAAGGUGGCCUGUGAGGGUUGCUGGAGGUAUCAGAAGUGCGAAUGCUGACAUAAGUAACGAUAAAGCGGGUGAAAAGCCCGCUCGCCGGAAGACCAAGGGUUCCUGUCCAACGUUAAUCGGGGCAGGGUGAGUCGACCCCUAAGGCGAGGCCGAAAGGCGUAGUCGAUGGGAAACGGGUUAAUAUUCCCGUACUUGGUGUUACUGCGAAGGGGGGACGGAGAAGGCUAUGUUGGCCGGGCGACGGUUGUCCCGGUUUAAGCGUGUAGGUGUGUGUUCCAGGUAAAUCCGGUUCACUUUAACACUGAGGCGUGAUGACGAGGCACUACGGUGCUGAAGCAACAAAUGCCCUGCUUCCAGGAAAAGCCUCUAAGCAUCAGGUAACAUCAAAUCGUACCCCAAACCGACACAGGUGGUCAGGUAGAGAAUACCAAGGCGCUUGAGAGAACUCGGGUGAAGGAACUAGGCAAAAUGGUGCCGUAACUUCGGGAGAAGGCACGCUGACA